rnacentral:rRNA from 1 species
AGCGAACGCUGGCGGCAGGCUUAACACAUGCAAGUCGAGCGGGCAUCCUUGUGGUGUCAGCGGCAGACGGGUGGGUAACGCGUGGGAACGUGCCCUUCGGUUCGGAAUAACUCAGGGAAACUUGAGCUAAUACCGGAUACGUGCGAGAGCAGAAAGGUUUAUCUGCCGAAGGAUCGGCCCGCGUCUGAUUAGCUAGUUGGUGAGGUUACGGCUCACCAAGGCGACGAUCAGUAGCUGGUCUGAGAGGAUGAUCAGCCACACUGGGACUGAGACACGACCCAGACUCCUACGGGAGGCAGCAGUGGGGAAUAUUGGACAAUGGGGGCAACCCUGAUCCAGCCAUGCCGCGUGAGUGAUGACGGCCUUAGGGUUGUAAAGCUCUUUUCUCCGGGACGAUAAUGACGGUACCGGAGGAAUAAGCCCCGGCUAACUUCGUG